rnacentral:misc_RNA from 1 species
UUGAAACAUUAAAAUUUUCAAAACAAAUAAAUUUUUUUUAAUAUCGAAAUUUUGAACCAAAAACGAUUUGGCGAAUUCUGCCCAAGCCCCACAUAACCGAAAAAGAAACUUUAGGACAUGUUAAGAGAGCUUUUAAUGUUACGGGUGUACCAGAAGAACUAAAACGGUUCAGUUGCGGUUAAUUGUACUGUGCAUACAUAUGUCUGCAGAUAUGUAGACUCAUAAACUUUUUUCGAGGGAAACAACUAGCAGCCGUCAAGAAUGUUAGACAGCAGCAGGCAGUGGCACCAACAUUGGCAACAUGACCAAAGGUGGAAAUGUAGCAGACGUGCAGGCAGAUGGUAAGCGACAACAACAAGUACAAAGCAAUACCAACUAUAAAGCAGCAAGAACGCUGAGACCAGCGAUUGUGAUUGUGAUCAUGAUGAUGCAGUUAAAUUUGGCCGACGUUGUUGCUGUUGUUAUUGCUGCAAGUUUAGCAAGAGUCGCGAUCUGCAUGUGCGAUUCCACUUCUACGAUUCGAUUGUAAUCUUAGUAUACCAACAAAGAUGCGCAAAACUCAUACCAACGAACCAUCAAAUACAUAUACGUGUGUCUAUCUACUGCAGAGAGUUUCGCUUUUGAGUUAUGAGUUCACUUCGUUGGUACUGUUGCUGUUGUCGUUUUUUCUUCGUACUUCGUACUGUCUUGAGUGGCCACCGAGGAGAUCAUGAUACUGUCAACGGAUUGCAUAAGUCUCCAGAGGACUGCAGUUGCCGCAUAGAGUGGUGAUAAAAGAGUAGGGGAGGGAGCGGUUCACCGGCUUGCCGUAGCAUCAGCAUCAACAGCAGCAGCAGCAGAUAAAUUUCUUCUGGUACUGAGAUCUAAUCACAGAGAAUACUGAGAAAUUUAGCUGCUCUAGAGAAGGGUCAAGUAAUGCGCAAGAUUGACAAAAAGAGAUUUGAAUGAAAUGGCAGAAAAGAGAUGGAGGUUUAUAUCUAGUAAGAAAUACUAAAUUAUAGUAUAUAAUGUUUUGGCUAUCAACAAAAAAUGGCUGUUGAAAAAUUUAAA